GCCAGCCGGCGAGCGGAGGGCUGAGGACUGCGCAGCUGGUGCACGGGCAGAGCUCUUCGGUCCGGUUCGGCUUUCCCACCACCCAAAGCAGUGAAGAUGGCAGCUCUGGCUGGAAGUGCUGAGGACACAACCAACUUUGGGCUUGGUCCUUCUUGGCCGAGGAAGUCUCUCCCGAUUAUGCAGUGGAGUGGUACGGUGGAGGCGAAGGAUUUUCUCUCUCAGCCUGCAGCCAUGCACCAGAUGUGUCUUCCUCUGGAAGCUGGUUUCACAUGGUGGCUUAGAUUUUCCCACUUUGUAUCUAGCACCAUUUGAAAUCAGUGUUCUAGGAGCAAGAAUUACAGCGUGGGAGGAGACCGAGCAACUGCCAACCUCACCAAUGGCCUCUACUCCUUUCAAAGCAGCCCUUCUCCCAGGGGUUCUUUCUUUGCCAGCCAACCACUUUGGAACAUCACCUGAUUUCUAGACAGUUCUCCAAGCACUGCAAACACCCUUUUCUCCUCUCUCAAGCUAGGGCCCGACCACAGGAACAGCUUCUUUCCAAUGUAUUUCUACUCAAUAAACAAUGGAUAUUGAGUUUAA